rnacentral:misc_RNA from 1 species
CCCUAGCCCUGAUUGCAACGAAAAUCCCGCAGUGGAGCGGCGGAGCCUUUCAACAGGUUCAAGACAGGCCAAGGUGAAGCCGCGUAAUGAGGAAUUGCAGUGGAAAGCAGGUUCCCGG